AUUGAACGCUGGCGGCAGGCCUAACACAUGCAAGUCGAGCGGAUGAAGGGAGCUUGCUCCUGGAUUCAGCGGCGGACGGGUGAGUAAUGCCUAGGAAUCUGCCUGGUAGUGGGGGAUAACGUCCGGAAACGGGCGCUAAUACCGCAUACGUCCUGAGGGAGAAAGUGGGGGAUCUUCGGACCUCACGCUAUCAGAUGAGCCUAGGUCGGAUUGGCUAGUUGGUGGGGUAAAGGCCUACCAAGGCGACGAUCCGUAACUGGUCUGAGAGGAUGAUCAGUCACACUGGAACUGAGACACGGUCCAGACUCCUACGGGAGGCAGCAGUGGGGAAUAUUGGACAAUGGGCGAAAGCCUGAUCCAGCCAUGCCGCGUGUGUGAAGAAGGUCUUCGGAUUGUAAAGCACUUUAAGUUGGGAGGAAGGGCAGUAAGUUAAUACCUUGCUGUUUUGACGUUACCAACAGAAUAAGCACCGGCUAACUUCGUGC
rnacentral:rRNA from 1 species